rnacentral:misc_RNA from 1 species
AACGCACAUUGCACCCCUUGGUAUUCCGAGGGGUACACCUGUUCGAGCGUCAUUACAAACCUCAAGCUCUGCUUGGUAUUGGGUGUUUUCGUUGCUCCCCUUGGGGGGUAACGCGCCUUAAAGACCUCGGCGGCGUAGUUCCGGCUUCAAGCGUAGCAAAAAACUUUCGCUUUUGGAGUCCGGGCGACGUUCUGUCCGUAUAAAAACCCUUUUAUUUCAAAGGUUGACCUCGGAUCAGGUAGGGAUACCCGCUGAACUUAA